UGACCUUCCUCAUUCCACUGUUGAUGGU
rnacentral:piRNA from 1 species